AGGCUGAAUUCCAAACCUCCAGUUGGCUCGGCUUCUCCCAGACUAUCGGAGGAAUGAAGGCUGCAGUGAGAGAAGACCUUCGCUCCGGAUCAUGCGGCAAGAGAUGGACCAAGAAACCGGCAGUGCCCCCUCCAGCCGAGGGUCCAGGAGAUGAGGAGAAGCACCAGAGCAGCAAGGUGGAGGCUUGACUGUCCCGACCACCCCGAUACCCACCAAAGCCGAACCUGAACCGAGCCGGCCAGGGAGAUCAGGGCGGCCGCCGUGACUAGCAGAAUGAUCCCUCCUGGAGGGACUCUGUACCGAGAGCUGCACCAGCGAGGGAGAGGACGAGGGAGAAGUGAUCGGGGGUCAAGCCGACAAGUGGAGACCGGGACGCCCUGAGAGAAGAUGGGAGUUGACCUGACCAUCGGGAAAAAAUAAGUAUCUAAUCGUAGACUGACCAAAAAA